rnacentral:rRNA from 1 species
GACGUAGGGUGCAAGCGUUAAUCGGAAUUACUGGGCGUAAAGAGCGCGCAGGCGGUCGUUCAAGUCGAGUGUGAAAGCCCCCGGCUCAACUGGGGAGGGUCACUCGAUACUGAUCGACUCGAAGGCAGAAGAGGGAAGCGGAAUUCCCGGUGUAGUGGUGAAAUGCGUAGAUAUCGGGAGGAACACCAGUGGCGAAGGCGGCUUUCUGGUCUGCUCUUGACGCUGAGGCGCGAAAGCUAGGGUAGCAAACGGG